AUUGGACGCUGGCGGCAGGCCUAACACAUGCAAGUCGAACGAGGGGCGGACGGGUGAGUAAUGUCUGGGAAAUUGCCUGAAGGAGGGGGCAAAAUACUGGAAACGGUAGCUAAUACCGCAAACCAUCGAAUGUGCCAAGAUGGGAUUCGCUAGUGGGGGGGGGAAAGGCUCACCUAGGCGACGAUCCCUAGCUGGUAUGAGAGGAUGACCGGCCACACUGGGACUGAGACACGGCCCAGACUCCUACGGGAGGCAGCAGUGGGGAAUAUUGCACAAUGGGCGCAAGCCUGAUGCAGCCAUGCCGCGUGUAUGAAGAAGGCCUUCGGGUUGUAAAGUACUUUCAGUAGGGAGGCGUUACCCACAGAAGAAGCACCGGCUAACUCCGUGCCAGCAGCCGCGGUAAUUC
rnacentral:rRNA from 1 species